AACUGGUCAGGAGCUGAUGUCACUCUCUUGAUGAGGUCAUGACAAGUCGAAACCAGUU
rnacentral:hammerhead_ribozyme from 15 species